GCAGGUACUGGCAAACCUUCGAGUGUAUUUCUGCUAUGAAAUACAUAUGUGGCGUUCGGAAUCGGCUUGACACUGUAGGUUCCUCCAUUUGUGGAACAACAUCAAGACGCACACCACAAAUAGGAGGAGGAGUUCGGCCAAACACCCAAACGAAUGUACGCGCCAAAUUUAUAUACAUAUAUACAUUAGCUAAUCAGCUGGCUCCUACAAAACCGCUGAGAGCCGGUUAACGGUCUGAUGGUAACCCCACCUCGGGUCUGUGCAUCGCGGUGCAAUCCUAUAGUUUGCUGCACGACGCCAUUUUAAAAAACGCUAUGAUUGUGUUGAAAGGAACAAAGAUUACCUCUAUAUAUGCUUGUCUGCAUCCGGUACCUGAUAAUACAUUGUGGGCCCGUUCUCCAAGAAAUUAAGACUGCGCAUGACGUCACAUCUUUUGAUGAAUAUAAGAUGACCGCUCUGCUGGAUGCGAAAUCCUCAGUUAUGUGAACGUCAAAUAUUAUUAUUUAUUUAUUUGAAUAUUAUGUAAUAAAAUAAAAAUUAAAAAAAAAAAUUGGAUCAGAAAUCUUAA